rnacentral:tRNA from 1 species
UGGGAUGUAGCUCAGCUGUAUAUAGUGCUCACCUUGCAUGUGGAAGGCACUGGGUUCGAUCCUCAGCACCACAU